CGUACCGCUUGGCUUAGGUGAAGCCAGGUACAUUGCCCAGUGGAUGCUGGGGUUCACAGUGUCAUAGAGAGCAUCCCGAGUUGCAUGCACAGGGAUCAUCGAGUGCAGCUCCUGGCUCCACGCAGAACACCCAGAAUUCAGUCCGUACGUGUGAGAGCGGUGUCCAGACGCUCCUUGAACUGAGGCACUUGGGGCCGUGCUCACUGCCCUGGGCAGCCCGUUCCAUGCCCACCGCCCUCUGGUGCCGACCCUUUCCCUCACCCCAGCUGCCCCUCCCCUGACACAGCUCCAUGCCGUUCCCUCGGGCCCUGUCGCUGUCCCCAGAGAGCAGAGCUCAGCGCUGCCCUUCUGCUCCCUGUGAGGAGCUGCAGCCGCCAUGAGGCCUCUCCAUGAGGCCUCUGGUCAUUUUGCCUCCUCUAAAUAGAGAUGGAAAACUAUCUGGCUAUCUGACAAUAUCUCUAUAGCAACAAUUAGUAAGGAUGUAGUGCCAUUAUUAUUAGAACGUUUUUCAACUGUCUUCAAUUGUACUAGGAGAACUGACGAAUUUGAUUUUUAUGUUCUGAACAAGAUUUAUGUUAUCUGUCCAUCUGUCUGCCAUUCCAUACCCUUUGGGCCAGUUCUGCUGUAAUUUGAACAAAGUCAUUCCGCUUAUCUAAGUUUUGUGGAAAUUGGUAUUUAAACCUAACUUUGUUUCCUCAGCCAGAGCAAAGCAGGCAAGAACCUCAGUUCCUACACAUUCUUCCUAGCAGCGAUCAGCCAUUCAGUAUGUAUGUAUCAGCCAUCCACUUUUCAUACACAUCAUUCCAGAGUGAUAGAUGUGAUUUUUGUAGGGCACAUGGAAAAGAAAUUGUAGUUACUGUAAUUAAAAUUGUUUAGGGGCUAAAGUAUCCAAAUCCACAGAAUCCACAGGCUUAUUAGUUCUGUUGCUCACAACACAGCUGGAAAGUGCUAAAGUACUAAAAAAAGUACUAAAAAAUGUUUACACUGCCUGUAUAUUUAAAAAGUGGUAAAGAGGAUUUGAUCUGGCAUAGCAUAACCAGUUUGGUAUGGGUACUCUGGAAGAAACAUGGAAGUGCUGACAUGGGAUGCAGUAAUUAAAUACACAUAAUUAAAUGCUGCUGAAUACACCUUUAUGGAAAAGAUGUGAUUAAAUACACUUGAAUUUAAUUUUAGUUCAUAAAGGUAAUAACACUGAUUUAAUAGAUUUAAUCUAAGUUAGAACAGUAUGCUAUUUUCAUAAAUACAGCAUAGUCUACAAAGUCUGUGCAGUUCACUGUAAGUGGAUUAAAAACUGGUUCAACUGGGAGUUCUCAAGAGAAUUGAUUGUAAAUGAAAGUUUAUCAUACAAAUAUCUUUUGGGGAAGCUUGUUCUUGUCCUGGUGCUAGUAGCAAUGACUUAGACAAAAAUAUAGAAUUACAAAUUACAAAAUCACAACUCUGCUGUUGUAAAUAGUUAUAACAGUGAGUAAUGGUAAUGUCAUUUCUAAUUAUGUUUUUCUUAAGACAGUCCAAGUAAAGGCUGACAUUCAAAAUAAGGCCUCAAAGCCACCCUUGGAAUCUGAAGGAGAGUAAGUGACAUGAGGUAGUGCUGACAGGAACCCGGGCAUUAUGAUACAUAAUGGGACAUGAACUCCCAGAAUAAAACUUUUGCUAAUACUCUGAAACAAAGCUAGAGGAACAUCAAAUACAACUAGAUUUUUUUUUCCAAAGAUAUACUAUAGCUUAAGUAUACGCAGCAGCAGUUUUGAUGUGAAAUAUAUAGGCAGAGAUUCUGUGCAGUCUAAUACAGUGGUGUUAUGACCAUGAAAUAAUACACUGCCUUUUCUGUCCUUAAAUGCCUUGGCUCCAGAAGAAGACCAGGAAGUCUACAUAUAUGACAGCAAAAGAAGGAAUAGGAUACCAAGGAUAUCUCCAAAAAGAUAUUUUUUGUGAGUUCAGAUAGGCAUUGUCUGAAGAGCACUUGGCGCAUCUGAUUGUGCACACAAGGUUCAAACCUGACUGUCCAGUUUUGCUACCAUUGUUAAUGUGAUCUCCCAGACAACCAAGCAGUGACUUCCAAGAAUUCUGUAUUUCUUCAAGGAAAAGAAAUGACAAUGCAAAAUGCUAUAGCAAUCAUGUAAAGAUCAUCAAAGGAACAAGAGUUCCACCUUCAGGUCUGGGAAAAUACUACCUCUGAUGGCAAAAGAUACUUCAGAAAAAAUGUAAAGGGUAGAUGGAGGCGGACUUGCUGAAUGACAGAGAGACUCAGACUUGUAUUGCAUGUCUGUGGCCAGUUUUGAAGGGCCUCUUGUGGCUCUGAUGACUGUGUAUUCUUAUUCAGUUAUCAGAGAAUCUGUUCUGUAUCAUCAAUAAAGAAAAAUGAUCGUGAAGUCUCCUAGGAGGGUGGAGAACUGCUGCACAUCCAACUGAGGAAGAGCUUCCUCAAGUUCAUUCUUAGUCCUCAAAUAUAUGAAUUAAGAAGCAGGAUCCAGAUAUGCGAUUCAUUUAACAUGGUUUCUUCACUUCAUCUUACUGCUCUGUGGUCAGCAAUCUUUCCUUUAUGUGCAGUCUCUGAGAUAACUCAUUCUAGGGAUGGCAUUUUAGUGAGCGUUGCUCAAUAAACACAGAACUUCCCAGAUACUUACAUUAUGUUCCCAAAGAUAGAUCUUUUUUCCAGUAGAGCAUUUCAACAUUCUGUUGCCUUUUUAAUGCAUUGUUAUUACUGAUACGCUGUUUUCACUAUCAAAAGACUUGUGCUGGCAAGAGCUGGUAAUAAAGCUUCCAUUGUGUCAUGGAAAACAGUCUUUACUGUGUUCCAGCCAACAUUGCUCUCUCCCACAGUCUUUAAGGAGCACAACAUGGUUCAAAUUGAGAUCUCCUUCUAACAUAUGUCCCUUACAAAACCAUAUUUUUUCUGCGAUUCUUGACAUCGUGUUUUGAGGAAUAUGUGGCAGCAUUUUCUGAAACUAUCGUCAUGAUCUAAACAAAAUACUGCGUGUUGAUUUGGGGGGAAGCUGUUAGCUACUGUUGACAAAAGCUGUGUUAUAGUUCUAGUAUUGGUGGAAUUCUGAUACAAUGCACUUCAGUGUAAUUUGCUGCAAAACCAGCUCACAUGUGGUUGAGAAUCACCUGUGUUGCAGAAAGGAGGUCUCCCAAAUGACAAUGAAACAGAAGACAUUUACUGUCCAUUAACAUAUCCAUCCAAACAGUUGCACUGAAUUGAGUGUAAAAGGAAGAGAGAAAUCUAUUAGUGCAAAGCAGCUUUUAUUUGGAGAGAAACAUUUCUUCCCUGCUCACAUAGGUUAUUUUUGUCUUUUCCAGCAUAUUGGCAAGUCUCACACUGUGAUUUCCAUGUACAGUUUCCAGCAGCUGCCUCAGAAACAGUCACCCAGGAAAGUCAGUGGCUACAGAAACUACCCACAACACCUGAACCGCAGCAGAAUUUCCCUGCUGACAAGAGCAUCGCUAGCUGGUGACAGCUCAUACCUAGGGCAUUCCGGGAACACGCAUGUACAGUGCUUUGCCUGGGGAGCCUGAAAUGGCAGAGCUCCUCCCGUGUUUCCCAGCAGUCCACUAAAUGGCAUAACCAAAAGAGAUAAAAUUUUAAAACAAGUACUGCUGGGUUUGUGGCUGGGAACUAUGACAUGACUGCAAUUUAAUGAAGACUCAUCCUUUUUUUCCAACACCUUCUCAUUGCCACUGGAUCUGGAGAGCUGUGUCUGAAAAAUUUUCCUGGAAGUCUCUGCUGUAACCCCAAAGUGUUACUUGGCCAGCUCAAUGGUUGUCUACUUAGCUUAAGAACUGUCCAUACAGGUGCUCUGAAAAUGACUGAAAGUUGCAUAAUAAAUAGUGGAAUUCUACAAAGAAGUCUUUUCACUCACAAGAAAGAAGUUUUCACUAGGAGGAGGCAGGGGAACCUCCUAUGACCUGGAUCUUCACAGUGAUGCUUGCUGGUAUUAUCUUGAAAAGUGUAAGUUGCUCAUGGCAGAAGUCAGACCCUUUUCUCUGAAAGACACAGAAUGAGAAGAUAGGCACUAACAAUUAACUUCAUCAAUGUCUUCUCCUUCUUGGUUGUUCUGCUGCAGUGGUGCUCAUCAGCAUUUCUUGAAAUGAAGAAUGGUUUAGUGUCAAAGGUGCAAAGGUGAAGGAUAUCAAAUCCGUUGCAAAGUUAUCUUUUCACUACCUACCUCAUGAUAAUUUUGGUGUAAAAUAUGGAACAAGAUACCUGUAAAUCACUUCUGAGGAGGACUAUGGACCCAGAGCUCCUAGUGUUUCCUGACUACAUACUGUUUCAGAACAAUUUCAUUCAGUGUAUGUCUACACUUCCGCUUCAUGUCUCUCAAAUGGAUCAAGCAAAGUUGGAAAGGAGCAAAUCCCUAUGUAAACAUCAAUAUCGUCAAUUAAUUAGGAAACACAGCAAGAUAAAUAAUGAGACCCCAAG